rnacentral:rRNA from 1 species
UCGGGAAUUUUGGGCAAUGGGCGAAAGCCUGACGCAGCAACGCCGCGUGAGUGAUGAAGGCCUUCGGGUCGUAAAGCUCUGUCGGAGGGAACGAAUGCUCCUGAAGUUAACAGCCUCAGGAGGUGACGGUACCCUCAAAGGAAGCACCGGCUAACUCUGUGCCAGCAGCCGCGGUAAUACGAAGGGUGCAAGCGUUACUCGGAAUUACUGGGCGUAAAGCGUGCGUAGGUGGUCGUUUAAGUCCGUUGUGAAAGCCCUGGGCUCAACCUGGGAACUGCAGUGGAUACUGGACGACUAGAGUGUGGUAGAGGGUAGCGGAAUUCCUGGUGUAGCAGUGAAAUGCGUAGAGAUCAGGAGGAACAUCCAUGGCGAAGGCAGCUACCUGGACCAACACUGACACUGAGGCACGAAAGCGUGGGGAGCAAACAGGAUUAGAUACCCCCGUAGUCCCUGAGCGGGCUGGCAAGGCGCAU